GCUUUGCAAAGUAGUAGUAGGAUAAUUCAUAAUUGGGUCCCAAAACCUAAUCAUCAUAACUCAUCCCAUAUCAUAUAUCCACAACCCCUAUUCCCUUAGCAUCAUAUAACAAAAGUAAAAAAUGGAGAACAAAGCAAACAUGGUGGCAUCACUUAUGUCAGUGAAACAAAAAUCUGGCAAAACAUUUAGUCAAAUAGCAGAAGAAACAGGUCUCACAAAUGUGUAUGUUGCUCAGCUUUUGAGACGUCAAGCUCAGCUCAAACCUGAAACUGCUCCAAAGCUUAAGGCUGCACUUCCCUUAUUAUCUGAUGAACAACUUCAUGAUAUGAUGGAGGCACCCUUGAGGUCUUAUGACCCUAACUUAAUUCAAGACCCCACUGUUUACAGAUUGAAUGAAGCUGUCAUGCAUUUUGGUGAGAGCAUCAAGGAAAUUAUUAACGAAGAAUUUGGCGAUGGCAUCAUGUCAGCUAUAGACUUUUUCUGCUCAGUUGACAAAGUCAAAGGUGUGGAUGGGAAGGAUCGUGUUGUUGUGACUUUUGACGGAAAGUAUCUGCCACACACUGAGCAGGAAGGCAAAGUGUGCUGUGUGAUAUCGUACGACUGGAGGGACUUGUCUGUUUAAACAACUGGUGGGAUGUUAAUUAACAGCUUGGUUGGAUGGCUAUUAUGUAUCGUCUCAUAAUGAAAUCUGAGCAUAUGGUGUCAAGGUUCAUGCGGAAGGAAUAAACGUAGUUAGUAUUAGCAGUUCGUGUCAAGCUGUCGAUCUUUUUCACCAAUAAACAUUGAUUAUGUAUUUAUACUGAAUUUCUUUUCUUUUCUACUCGUCAAUGUUCUCAUCUUGGGAGGGGAGCAUUGGCGUAGCUAGUAAAGUUGCUGUCAUGUAACCAAGAGGACACGGGUUCGAGCCGUGGAAACAACCUCUUGCAGAAAUGCACGGUAAGGCUGCGUCCGGCCCUUCCCUGGAUCCCGCGCAUAGCGGGAGCUUAGUGCACCGGGCUGCCGUUGUUCUCAUCUUGUCUGAAUAAUAGUCACUCGUGUUAGUCUGAGUUUUGAAUUGCCAAAUGCAAAUAGUAUAUGGUAUUUAUAUGUAUGUAUUUGAGUUGCCAAAAUUUGAUAAUUUUUAUGUAUGUGUUUGGGUUGCCAAAUAUUAUGUUCAGCAUGUA